GCGGGUAUAAUUCAGUCUGGUAGAAUGCUUGCUUGCCAUGCAAGUCGUCGCGAGUUCGAAUCUCGCUACCCGCU
rnacentral:tRNA from 1 species